AUGGAAGGGUUGAGCUCUUGGCCAGGGUGCAAGUGCAGACAGAGAAACCAGGGCUGCCUUACCCAGGAUGACUGGAGACUGGCAAAGUGCAUCAUCCACUUGCACCCGUCGGUGGAAAAGUAAGAAGGGAGUCACUGCUGUAUGCUUCAGCCUGGUUCAGCAUCAUGGGGCAUAACUGGCCAGAGUUGGGACUUGCCCUCAAGGUCCCUGAUGGCAGAGAAGCAUCAGCCUGGUGAAAGCUGCCGUGUGUCCGGCGUCUGAAGCCUGCUGCAGUGGCAGGUGCCUGGCGUCGCGGCUAGAAGCGGCGGCGGUGGGAACCGGCAAGCGGCGUCUCGCUCUGGUUACCCACAACACAGGGCCGGGAGGUGAGGCGCGUCAGGCCAGGGGAACAGUUCGUCACCUCCACUCACAGGAAGCACACGUCAGGUUUGCAAAACCAACACAAACAGUGCUGCUGAACCCUUCACCUGCCUUUGCCCUUCCGCUGAGGUCACUCCUCUUGUCGUCACCAGGCAGCGGUUUGUCCCCUGGCAUCCACCUGCCCUUCCCCGCUGCGCUCCCCAGGCCUCGUCCCUCCGCGCUGGAGGGAGCCAGGGCUGAUUGCUGCCAUCUCCUGCUGGCCACUUGGGAUCCGUUCUCCGGCCGCGCCGAAGUGGUGGUGCUGAAGUUGGAAUAGAUCCCUGCUCCAGGAAUAAAAUACAUCAGCCUUGGUCACAGAAUCCCACCAUGGUGGGGAUUGGAAGGAACCUCUGGAGAUCAUCCAGUCCAACCCCCCUGAUAAAACAGGGGCACCCACAGCAACUUGUCCAGAGCCUCUAU